rnacentral:rRNA from 1 species
CCCUUAGAUGUUCUGGGCCGCACGCGCGCUACAAUGACAGAAUCAGCAAGUAUACCUUUGUCGACAGACAUGGGAAAUCUUAGAGUUUUUGUCGUGAUGGGGAUAGACCCUUGUAAUUGUUGGUCUCCAACGAGGAAUUCCUAGUAAACGCAAGUCAUUAACUUGCAUUGAUUACGUCCCUGCCCUUUGUACACACCGCCCGUCGCUACUACCGAUUGAAUGGCUUAGUGAGCCUUUGGGAUUGGCAGCUUGUACCGGCAACGGUAGCAGGCAGCCGAAAACUUAGGCAAACUUGGUCAUUUAGAGGAAGUAAAAGUCGUAACA